rnacentral:rRNA from 1 species
UCCUACGGGGGGCAGCAGUGAGGAAUAUUGGUCAAUGGCCGAGAGGCUGAACCAGCCAAGUCGCGUGAGGGAUGACGGCCCUACGGGUUGUAAACCUCUUUUGUCGGGGAGCAAGACCCGCCUCGUGCAGGCGGAGCGAGAGUACCCGAAGAAAAAGCAUCGGCUAACUCCGUGCCAGCAGCCGCGGUAAUACGGAGGAUGCGAGCGUUAUCCGGAUUUAUUGGGUUUAAAGGGUGCGCAGGCGGACCAUCAAGUCAGCGGUAAAAUCGUGUGGCCCAACCCCAUCCUGCCGUUGAAACCGGCGG